ensembl:lncRNA
GGUCUGUUGUCAGUAGCACUAGGACUGGGUCUGUUGUCAGUAACACUAGGGUCUGUUGUCAGUAACACUAGGGCUGGGUCUGUUAUCAGUAACACUAGGGCUGGGUCUGUUGUCAGUAACACUAGGGCUGGGUCUGUUGUCAGUAACACUAGGACUGGGUCUGUUGUCAGUAACACUAGGGCUGGGUCUGUUGUUGUCAGUAACACUAGGACUGGGUCUGUUAUCAGUAACACUAGGGCUGGGUCUGUUGUCAGUAACACUAGGGCUGGGUCUGUUGUCAGUAACACUUGGGUCUGUUGUCAGUAACAAUAGGGUCUGUUAUCAGUAACACUAGGGCUGGGUCUGUUGUCAGUAACACUAGGGCUGGGUCUGUUGUCUGACAGUUCUACCAGUCUCUGCUACAGUGGGAUUCUACCAGUCUCUGCUACAGUGGGAUUCUACCAGUCUCUGCUACAGUGGGAUUCUACCAGUCUCUGCUACAGUGGGAUUCUACCAGUCUCUGAUACAGUGGGAUUCUACCAGUCUCUACUACAGUGGGAUUAUACCAGUCUCUACUAUAGUGGGAUUCUACCAGUCUCUGCUACAGUGGGAUUCUACCAGUCUCUGCUACAGUGGGAUUCUACCAGUCUCUGCUACAGUGGGAUUCUACCAGUCUCUGCUACAGUGGGAUUCUACCAGUCUCUGAUACAGUGGGAUUCUACCAGUCUCUACUACAGUGGGAUUAUACCAGUCUCUACUAUAGUGGGAUUCUACCAGUCUCUACUACAGUGGGAUUCUACCAGUCUCUACUGAUUCUACCGGUCUCUACUACAGUGGGAUUCUACCAGUUUCUGCUAAUUCUACCAGUCUCUACUACAGCAGGAUUCUACCAGUCUCUACUGAUUCUACCAGUCUCUACUGAUUCUACCAGUCUCUACUACAGUGGGAUUCUACCAGUCUCUACUGAUUCUACCAGUCUCUACUGAUUCUACCAGUCUCUACUACAGUGGGAUUCUACCAGUCUCUACUACAGUGGGAUUCUACCAGUCUCUACUGAUUCUACCAGUCUCUACUGAUUUUACCAGUCUCUACUGAUUCUACCAGUCUCUGAUACAGUGGGAUUCUACCAGUCUCUACUACAGUGGGAUUCUACCAGUCUCUACUGAUUCUACCAGUCUCUACUGAUUCUACCAGUCUCUACUGAUUCUACCAGUCUCUACUGAUUCUACCAGUCUCUACUGAUUCUACCAGUCUCUACUGAUUCUACCAGUCUCUACUGAUUCUACCAGUCUCUACUGAUUCUACCAGUCUCUACUGAUUCUACCAGUCUCUACUACACUGUGAUGUCUCUUCUUAUUUACACUUGGUUUCAUUUUACA